ACGCUGGCGGCAGGCCUAACACAUGCAAGUCGAGCGGUAGCACAGGAGAGCUUGCUCUCUGGGUGACGAGCGGCGGACGGGUGAGUAAUGUCUGGGAAACUGCCUGAUGGAGGGGGAUAACUACUGGAAACGGUAGCUAAUACCGCAUGACCUCGCAAGAGCAAAGUGGGGGACCUUCGGGCCUCACGCCAUCGGAUGUGCCCAGAUGGGAUUAGCUAGUAGGUGGGGUAAUGGCUCACCUAGGCGACGAUCCCUAGCUGGUCUGAGAGGAUGACCAGCCACACUGGAACUGAGACACGGUCCAGACUCCUACGGGAGGCAGCAGUGGGGAAUAUUGCACAAUGGGCGCAAGCCUGAUGCAGCCAUGCCGCGUGUGUGAAGAAGGCCUUAGGGUUGUAAAGCACUUUCAGCGAGGAGGAAGGGUACAGUGUUAAUAGCACUGUACAUUGACGUUACUCGCAGAAGAAGCACCGGCUAACUCCGUGCCAGCAGCCGCGGUAAUACGGAGGGUGCAAGCGUUAAUCGGAAUUACUGGGCGUAAAGCGCACGCAGGCGGUUUGUUAAGUCAGAUGUGAAAUCCCCGAGCUUAACUUGGGAACUGCAUUUGAAACUGGCAAGCUAGAGUCUUGUAGAGGGGGGUAGAAUUCCAGGUGUAGCGGUGAAAUGCGUAGAGAUCUGGAGGAAUACCGGUGGCGAAGGCGGCCCCCUGGACAAAGACUGACGCUCAGGUGCGAAAGCGUGGGGAGCAAAC
rnacentral:rRNA from 1 species